GACACAUAAAGUGGUUAGCCUCUUUUUGAUGUUUUUAUUGUGGCUUUAAAUUUUUACAAUAUGUCAUGACCUUAACAACCGAUUGCGUACUUCUCUCGCAUUGCUAGCUAUGAAAGAUGCUGUGAUUGCUACUAUUCUGAAGAACUCUGAGAUCAAAGAUGGGCAGUAUAUAUUUGACAUACCAAGUGUAGCAAACAACACUGGACUGCAAGUUGUGGACUUGACAAACCAUUUGCAAACUUUGAAGAUUUUUCCAUGUCUGAUAGUCAGAAAGAACAUGUGGCAUCCAUUGUGCAGUUUGUGCCUGGACUUGAGUCCUUGAGGCGAAGGUUUGCCAUGAAUUAUCGAUAGGAAAUUUUGGAUGAUCUAUUUCGUUUUAUUGCUUCCAAGGCUGAAUGGGAAUGACUUGGAGCUGUUGUCAACUCCUGAGGCAA